GCCCCGGUAGCUCAAUGGUAGAGCUCCUGCAUAUAGUGAGCGAAAGUGCAUAGCAACAACUAGCAGGUGUUCGAAUCCUGCCCGGUGGCU